rnacentral:rRNA from 1 species
UACGUAGGGGGCGAGCGUUGUCCGGAAUUAUUGGGCGUAAAGAGCGUGUAGGCGGUUCGGUAAGUCUGCCGUGAAAACCUGGGGCUCAACCCCGGGCGUGCGGUGGAUACUGCCGGGCUAGAGGGUGGUAGAGGCGAGUGGAAUUCCCGGUGUAGCGGUGAAAUGCGCAGAUAUCGGGAGGAACACCAGUAGCGAAGGCGGCUCGCUGGGCCAUUCCUGACGCUGAGACGCGAAAGCUAGGGGAGCGAACGGGG